GAUGAACGCUAGCGGGAGGCCUAACACAUGCAAGCCGAGCGGUAGAGAUUCUUCGGAAUCUUGAGAGCGGCGUACGGGUGCGGAACACGUGUGCAACCUGCCUUUAUCAAGGGGAUAGCCUUUCGAAAGGAAGAUUAAUACCCUAUAAUAUAUGAUUCGGCAUCGGAUUAUAUUGAAAACUACGGUGGAUAAAGAUGGGCACGCGCAAGAUUAGCUAGUUGGUGAGGUAACGGCUCACCAAGGCGACGAUCUUUAGGGGGCCUGAGAGGGUGAUCCCCCACACUGGUACUGAGACACGGACCAGACUCCUACGGGAGGCAGCAGUGAGGAAUAUUGGACAAUGGGUGCAAGCCUGAUCCAGCCAUCCCGCGUGUAGGAAGACGGCCCUAUGGGUUGUAAACUACUUUUAGCUGGGGAUAAACCUACUUACGUGUAAGUAGCUGAAGGUACCAGAUGAAUAAGCACCGGCUAACUCCGUG
rnacentral:rRNA from 1 species